rnacentral:ncRNA from 1 species
UUCUUAUGAAGAGAGGCGGAGGGAAAGGCCCGAUGAAGCCCGGCAACCCACUGAUAUAUUCAGGAAGGUGCCAAUUCCUACAGAGUGAAUGUACUCUGAGAGAUAAGAA